UGGGGAAUAUUGGACAAUGGAGGAAACUCUGAUCCAGCAAUUCUGUGUGUGUGAAGAAGGUUUUAGGACUGUAAAACACUUUUAGUAGGGAAGAAAAAAAUGACGGUACCUACAGAAGAAGCAACGGCUAAAUACGUGCCAGCAGCCGCGGUAAUACGUAUGUUGCGAGCGUUAUCCGGAAUUAUUGGGCUUAAAGGGCAUCUAGGCGGUAAGACAAGUUGAAGGUGAAAACCUGUGGCUCAACCAUAGGCUUGCCUACAAAACUGUUGAACUAGAGUACUGGAAAGGUGGGUGGAACUACACGAGUAGAGGUGAAAUUCGUAGAUAUGUGUAGGAAUGCCGAUGAUGAAGAUAACUCACUGGACAGAAACUGACGCUGAAGUGCGAAAGCUAGGGGAACAAACAGG
rnacentral:rRNA from 1 species